GAUGAACGCUGGCGGCGUGCCUAAUACAUGCAAGUCGAGCGAAUGGAUUAAGAGCUUGCUCUUAUGAAGUUAGCGGCGGACGGGUGAGUAACACGUGGGUAACCUGCCCAUAAGACUGGGAUAACUCCGGGAAACCGGGGCUAAUACCGGAUAACAUUUUGAACCGCAUGGUUCGAAAUUGAAAGGCGGCUUCGGCUGUCACUUAUGGAUGGACCCGCGUCGCAUUAGCUAGUUGGUGAGGUAACGGCUCACCAAGGCAACGAUGCGUAGCCGACAGGAGAGGGUGAUCGGCCACACUGGGACUGAGACACGGCCCAGACUCCUACGGGAGGCAGCAGUAGGGAAUCUUCCGCAAUGGACGAAAGUCUGACGGAGUAACGCCGCGUGAGUGAUGAAGGCUUUCGGGUCGUAAAACUCUGUUGUUAGGGAAGAACAAGUGCUAGUUGAAUAAGCUGGCACCUUGACGGUACCUAACCAGAAAGCCACGGCUAACUACGUGCCAGCCGCCGCCGUAA
rnacentral:rRNA from 1 species